AGCAGCAGUUCCGUCGUAUCAUCCCAACCAAAUACUUCUUUGCCCGCUCGUCGUUUGCGAUGGCGAUGCUGUCUUUUCUGGUGGCGUUCACCUGCAACAUCUACCUACAGAUAUAUGGCUGGCAGAAGGCGAAGUCGAAGGACUUGAUUCCAUUCGUAUUGGAGCUCACCGUCUUCCCCGUCAUCUGUUCCCUGGUGUUGUUCUUUCGUGGCUCCGAUUUCGGUCUAUCUUUCCUUGUUCGUCUUUGGGGUUGAGUCAACAAGCAUGAUCGUCCACAUCUUUGGAAUCUGCAGCUUCAUGAUGCACGUGGGUUCUACCUAUUGCGGGUAUGCCACCUGUUCUAGUGGUGUGUGGUGGUGGUAGUCAUUGGACAGUUAAUAACUUGUGUGUACAAGCAGCGACAAAGGCUUGUGAUGUAUGGACGCUAGUUGAUUGCAACUUUAAUGUGUUCUUUUCUUCUAUCUUAAAUUAGAUGAUGAUAUAGGCGCAGCGGUAGACAACAGAUCCGAUCACCAAUAAUGGUGAUGUCCCUCUCUAUUGUUUUUGACGAAGUCAAUAUGACAUAACUGUUGACCGGAUCUUACCCUGUAUUGUCAUGUAAAUGUCACAUGUCGAGUGACAGAUUUCCCCUAUCGUAUGGACGUCCUUUGGUUUUCCCAGAGGUCGGCUAGAACAUAGGCUCGAGUCUUUUUGAAUAUUCUGUGACAAAUCACAUAGUCCAUAUCGUAAAGUUUUGGCCCACCAAAGUUUGCACAGGCAAACGAAAUGAUUGGCUUAUAGAAGCCAAUCAUUCAAUAAGUGAAGGACAUCAAUUUUGGAUUAAAAAAAUAUCAACAAAAUACAAAUCACCUUUAUAGAAAGGAAAGAAAACUCUCCGUGGAGAGCUUUAUUGCACUCCUUCCCAUCCAUCAUCUAUGGAGUCAAAUAAGAAAGAUUCAAGAGAAGAUAGGAAUGGUCCGAGUGAAGAAGACAAACUAACGAGCAGCAAUGCUCGUCUAUUCCAAAGACCUGCCACGAGAAUAAUACAGCGAGAAAAAAAGAAAGAAAAGGAAGAAGCUUAUUUAUGAGGUGCGAAAGGUGAUGGACAUCCGAUUCACGCCGUUGCAGCUGAUGGUUACCAUCCUCUUCCGAAGCCAACUUGUGCUCGGCUCCUUUGAUUCCUUGCUCGCCCUUUCCCAAUUACUUUUUACAUAAAAUUAAUAUAUUUUAUGUAAAAAUAUAUUAAAUUUUAUAAAAUAUAUUCUAAAUUAUUCAAAAUAUAUUAUUACACUCUCAUUCAAAGAACGUGUUAAAAAAAAUAUUUUUUUUUAUAAAAUUAUCCUAAAUUCAUCAUAAAACUAAUCAUAAAAUUCUACAUCUCUUAUUUUCUAUUUCUUAUAUUGACUUAGUUAUGUUCAAAAUUAAAAUAAAUUAAAUUCGAUUACCUAACCUAUUUUAAUAUUAAUAUUUUUUUUACUUUUAGAUAUAUCUAGAAUAAUUAAUUAUCAAAACUUUGAGAAUUCUACUAUAAUUUGAUUCUAACAAAAUUAUAAUAAAUUUAUAUAAAAAUUAAUAUAUCUUAGUAAAUUCGAGUGUAACUUGGAUGUAAGAGAUUUGGCUUAACUUGAUUCUACUGGAUUCGAAGGGAUCCGACCCAAAUCGAUCUAAUUCAGAUCGAAUCAACCUGCUAAUCAGUCAGGUUUAAAAUAGUCUAUUUCAAAAGUAUUAUCAAAAUUUUUAAAGAAAAUCACCUUUUGUAUGAGCUUUUAUCUUUAUACAUACAAAGUAUCCUAUUAAACAUGAGGUAUUACAAAAAAAAAAAAAAAAUCCCUCUCCAAAGACCUCCUGUCAUGUCAACUCUAGUAAAAUCCCUAUUAACUAGAGAAAGAAGUUCUUCGUUUAUACUAUAGUCGAGACUGCAACCGAUUCAUUGUUAUUUACUCAUUUUCUUUUGGUUCGUUUUCAUGUCAGUGUCAAGCUAUAUGAUAGGUAAACAAGUGUUUGGUACCCUGUCUCCGUUCCACCAUGCGCUGACGUUAUCAGAUUCCCUUUCGCUGAUCUAUAUAUCUUAUUGUCAGAAGACGUGAGACUGAAAGUGAUAUGUUGGAGGAAAGUAUUGAUUAUAUUUCUAUUUAUUAUUGGUUGACCGAUGGAGAUGGUUACUUUACUUGGGAUGUCAUGUUGAGGUAAUUAAAUCAUGCCAACGCAGAUUCGAAUAAUAAAAUUCCUUUAGCUUGUCAUUAAGCAAAAGACACCCACUCGAAGAUAACGUGAUUUGGAGCUACAAAUGAUAACACUGAGAGCAAAAGAUUCAAUAAAGAGAUGUUGCCAUAAUCCCGGGUGCAUAAAAAGAAUCGGAGACCAACCAAAGGGUCAUCAACUCCAAAGACUUGCGAUGAGUAUGAUCUACAAAACCUUUUCUAUAAGGUGCAAGUUGAAUGAUCGGUGGAGACCCACAAGUAGAGGUUUGGGUGCAAGCUUCCGGAUUAUUGUUUCCUGUAGAGCAAGAAUCGUUGACCCACAAGUUAAAGCUACUGUCUAGCUUUAACGUAUGUGAAUUAUUCAUUAGUAGGUUGGCCUCUGUAACAUACGAUUAAUUUGUUGUCGAAUCUUUUGUGACUGAGAUGAAAACGGAGACCAACCAAUGGGUUCUCAACUCCGAAGACUUGCGAUGAGUAUGACCUACAAAAACCAAGGGGGAAGGAGGUGUACGACGAUGGAUGAGAGCCAAAAGGAUCAGCUAGUCUGCUUGUUAAGGCAGGCAUUCAGGUUGCUUUAGUUUCGCAGUAGAAAUCUGGAGGCGAAGGCGUACGCACCAUAUAGCAACUGCAUGCUAUGGGGGAUCCCGCCGCUCUUGCCAAUACGGAUUCCAUUCACGACGGCACAGAGGAUGCUGAUCCACUGCAUGUUCUCAACAGGAGACAUUUUCUCACGGUGAAGUCUCAUUUCCGUCGGAAGAGGCACGAGGCACUCUUGGUUCUAGCCGUGGAAGAUCCUGGUCGCCCGGUGAACCUCAUGAACGACACUUUGCUCCACGUCGUCAUAGCUUGCAACAAGACCGACCUCGCCAGAAGUAUUAUCUUGCAGAUGCCAGUGGAGACCCUCGCGGCCAAGAAUUUGUACGGCGACACGGCUCUUCAUGUCGCUGCCGCCAUGGGUAACAGCGAGGUGGCCAGGGAGCUGUUCGGCAGGAACGAAGAUCUCAUCGAAGAACAGAACUUGAAGCAGGAGACACCACUGCACAAAGCGGCGUUCUACGGGCAUCAUGACAUGUUCUGGUGCCUGGUUAACGAGGGGAAUGGCUCCCCGUACGAGCGGAGGGAGGACGGCGCCACCAUGCUGCACUGUGCCAUCAUGGGCAACGAGCCGGGUAAGCGGUCAUCACCAGUUUCGUUGGCCAGCUGCCUUUAUCUUGUUUUUAUCCUAUUUAUUUGAAUUUUUAUAUGUGGAUCAUACUGCUUCCGCAUCUUUGGCGUGAUCAAGGUGAGUGAGUCGAUGCAGGGCUGGCACUGGAGAUUGCAGAGCGUUUUCCAUUGCUGAUCACGUCGAGGAAUACUAUGGCGGUAACCCCAUUGCAGCUGAUGGUGACCGUUCCGGGGUUAUUCCGAAGCCAAAUGGUAAUUGGCGGCUUCGAGUCCAUCCUCCAUGACUGUAAGUGCUGCCCCGCCUCUUCCUUCAACGCCCCCAGCGCCCCGCCCUCCCCCCUGCUUCUCUAUUUAUUGCACUACAUUUCCUACCAACGACUACCUUAAUUUAGCGAUCGUUCGACGUCCAAAUCUAUUGAGAAUUUACCAAGGGGUGUUUUUUUCUCAUUAUCGGAACACAUAUACCCUUGCUUAUUUGGAUUUAUUAUAUGGUUUUGUGUUAAACGCAUCAAAUCUAAUCGGUUGAGUCUGGUUUGCUCUCUGUUCUUUGUUCUUUCACGUCUCCUCCUCCUACCCUCAAUUCACCCUUUGUUUGUCACCCUUUCACCCUUAUUCUUUCUUCUUCAAGGAGGAGGAGCAGAGGAGGAGGAGGAGAGGAAGCGACACAAGGUUGACUGGUUCAUUGAACCGGUUCACUGAUCCAAACUGUUUCAGUGAAUCAUUUCAAAAAGUUCGAAAUGUAAUUAAAUUGGAAUAGGAGGAUAAAGUUAGAAUUUACCAAAAAAACAUUCCUAAAUAAUUUCUGAAUAUAUAUAUAUAUAUAUAUAUAUAUAUAUAUAAUAAUACNNNNNNNNNNNNNNNNNNNNUAUAUAUAUAUAUAUAUAUAUAUAUAUAUAUAUAAAAUCUGAUGUAACGGGAUAAUUGACUUAUUAACUUCACUAAACUUGGAUCAUUGAUCUGAAUAAUUAAGUUUAAAUUAAUAAUAAUACACUUAUCAAAUCUCUAUAAAUUAAUCUUAGUAUUUGUCUAGUUUUAAUUUUCGAUGUGAAGUAAAAUUAUAAUUGUUCUCAGAAAAAUAUAGUUAUGAUGACAAUUAAACAUCAAGUAUUUUGAUACCAACGUACAUGCUCCUAAAAGUUUGAUUUUAUAUUUCAGUAAUUCCUUUGGAGAAGGACUCACACAGGACACGUCAAAGAGAUGAAGAGGAGGCAUCUGAAAGCUCCAACGAUGCCGGUGUAUGUGCUUCAAAUCAUCAACAUCUUUUCCAUCACAAUAUCAAUAGUCCACUAUUGUCUCUCUGAUUUGUUUCUCACUUUGGCGUCUACAUAUAUAUAAUCUCAAGCAAGCUGAAGCCACAGAGCAAGAUGACCACGAAUAUUUCGGGAGGCAGAGAACAAUUCGUUCGAGAUUUCCAUCUUGCUGCUGUACUCUCGUUGACAAAUUAGUCAUCCCAGGCACUCCUACUAGCUUCUCUGUCUACAAUUUUUGUAGUCAUCCAUGUUCUGUUUCAUUACGCUGAUGUAUUCCUUUUUGUGCUUGCAGUCAAAUGGGUUCGUCUGUUUCUUUUCAUCAUUAUAAGGACUUGUGAGUAACUGUUCCCAAACAGUACAUUGAUGAUAUUAAGAGCCAUGUCCUACUGUUUCAUUACGAGUUCUAGCAAAUUAGGAAAGUACUAUAGAAAAGGCUUCUUGUAAUUUAGUUCUCCAAAACCAAGUAGUUUACAUGAUGGAUAAUUAUAGCUUAUUUGCGGAAAAACAUAAAUGGGACGAUUAUGUCGCUGACUUCUUCUGAUGUUAAUUUGGAGAUGCAAUGCGUUAUGCAGUGUACCCUCGAACCCGACAUCUGGAGAAGAUUAAGAGAACCCAUAGAAAAGCCUUGGAACUCAUCGAAUUUUUAGCCCGCGACCCGAGAAACAUGGAGUUCUACGUGCUGGGAAGAAAACAAGGUGACGGCGGUGCUCCUGCGGCAGACCUUCGAGAAAGAGGUGAGGGACAAGAUCAACUUACCGCACCGGCUGAGUCAUACAGAAGAUGGAACGAGCCACCCUUGAUCUUGGGUGCACAAAUGGGCAUUCCCGAGUUCGUCAGGACGAUCUUACAAGUGUGUCCGGAGGCAGCUACGUAUCUGGACACCCAAGGUCGAAGCGUUCUCCAAGUAGCAAUACGGCAUGGUAACCGAGAUAUUGUGAGAACUAUACGUGAGAUGACUCGAGGGAAGAAUCCCAUACUACCAUUCUGGCUACUGUCUCGCGUCGACAAAGGGACCGGAAGAACCAUCCUGCACUUGGCUUCGGCAACUGCCCCCGAGCAUAACCAAGAUGCUCUACAAAUGCAAGAUGAAUUAAGAUGGUUUGAGGUCAAGUCCCUAACUACAUUAACUACAAAUAAAAUCUUUACAUUCUCGGAGUUGCCUACUAAAUUUGAUCGUUUUCUGACAUUUUUAUGCAGACGGUGAGAGAUAUGGUUCCUAAGGAAUUAGUGUACAGUAGAAACGCGGAAGAGACGACCGCAGAAGAGAUGUUUACUGAGAGUCACAAAGAUUUGCUCAAGAGUUGCAAGGUUCAACUAAUGGAAACGGGCAGACUGUGUUCCGGGCUGGUCGCAGCUGUAGUGUUCGCGUCAAGCUUCUCAGUCCCCGGCGAUAAGGACCCAACCACCGGCAACCCGGUUUACUUCGGUAGGGCAGCUUUUACGGUCUUCUCACACACGUACGUGUUUGGGCUUUCAUGCGCCGCGACAUCUCUGGUGUUGUUCUUAUCCCUCGCCAUGUCACCUUACAAGGAACAGCAGUUCCGUCGUAUCAUCCCAAUCAAAUACUUCUUUGCCCGCUCGUCGUUUGGGUUGGCGAUGCUGUCUUUUCUGGUGGCGUUCACCUGCAACAUCUACCUACAGAUAUAUGGCUGGCAGAAGACGAAGUCGAAGGACUUGAUUCCAUUCAUAUUGGAGCUCACCGCCUUCCCUUUCAUCUGUUUCCUGGUGUUAUUCUUUUAUGGCUCCAAGUUCGGUCUAUCUUUUCUUUUUCAUUCUUGGCGUUGAGUCAACAAGCAUGAUCGUCCACACGAAUCUGGCAGGUUCAUGAUGUACGUGGGUUGUACCUAUUACGGUAUGUCGCCUGUUCCAGUGGUAUGCGGUGGUAGAAGUCAUUGGACAGUUAAAUAUCUUGUGUGUACAAGCAGCAACAAAGGCAUGUUAUAUGUGGCCGCUAUUUGAUUGUAACUUUAAUGUGGUCUUUUCUUCUAUCUUAAAUUAGAUAAUGAUAUAGGCGCCACGGUAGACAACAAAUCUGAUCACCAAUAAUGGUGAUGGCCCAUCAAUACUGAAUAAUGGUGAUGGCCCUGCCUAUUGUUUUUGGACUAAUGUCCAUAUGACAUAGCUGUUGAUGGGAUCUUAUCCUCUCACCGUUGACUGUAUUGUCAUGUAAGAUAUGCAUGGACGUCCUUUCGUUUUCCCAGAGAUCGGCUAGAAGAUAGGAUCGAGUCUUAUUGAAUCUUCUGUGACAAUCAAGUAGUCUUUAUCGUACAAUUUUGGCCCACCAAAGUUUGCACAGGCAAACGAAAUGAUUGGCUUAUAGAAGCCGAUCGUUCAAGAAGUGAAGGACGUCAAUUUUGGAUUGAAAAAAGAUCAUUUAGCUUUUCAAAAAAGAAAAAGAAUAACCUUUAUAAAAUGGAUAGAAAACUCUCCGUGGAGGCCUUUACACCGCUCCUUAGCAGCAUCCAUGGACUGGAGUCAAUAAGAAACAUUUAAGAAAAGAUAGAAACAGACGUAUCGUUGUCCAAAGAGUGAAGAAGACAAACUAACCACAAGCAAUGCUCGUCUAUUUUAAUGACCUGUCACAAGUCUAAUACAGCCACAAAACAUUAAAAAAAAGGAAGAAGCUUGUUUAUGAGGUGCCAAAGGUUAUGGACAUCUAUCUGAUUCACGCACGGAAUGGUCACCAUCCCCGAGCACCUCUUUCGAAGCCAAUUGUUUGGUCGGCACCUUUGAUUCCUUUCUCUGUAUCUGUCCAAGUGCUGCUCGCCCUUUCUCAAGUACUUUCUAAUCCUCUAUCCAUCUCUCCAUUUUUAUUUUUCUACUUUUACUGUUAUAAUAAGUUUUUUAAAUUAUUUUUAUUACAUUAAAUUACAUAUAAGACAUCCUUAUAUAAACAUAUCAUUAUAUUGCCACGACUAUAUAGACGCUUAUUCUAUAUACAAACUAGAAAUAGACAAAAGGAUACCAAUAAAAUAAAGAGACACCGCAAUAAGAAUCGGAUUUGGUAAAGUAUUUUCCUCAAACGAGCUUGGAGGAUCGGAUAAGAGUUUUGUAAAGAGACCACUGCUCCUGAAAUGAAAACCAAUCGUCGUGCUUUCAAUUAAUAAAACCAAUCAUGCAUACCGUUUUCUAAAGUGUUCAAUGAGGAGACAACAUAAGUAAUUGUCAGUUCACGCAUAUUACUUACCGUACGCAGAAGGAGGCGUAGGUACGUCGGUCGAUGGUCACUUGAUCUCCUUCCUGGCCAUCAUAUAAAGGGAGGCCUUCAGGUGCUCAUCUAAGACCACCAAGGGUACGUGAAGGUUGAAGACGUAGCCAUGGAUCCUUCGGGAAGCCAUUCGGCCCUCGCAACAGAUAACAGUGAUGACGAGAAUAGACGACCUAGCGUCUUCGACGUGGAUCACUUUUGCACCGUGACGUCUCUGAUUCAGCAGGAGAAGUACGAGGAUCUAUUACCCCUAGCCAUGAAGAAGGAUCCUCCACUCAACCUCAUGGAGGACCCUGUGCUCAACGUCGUCAUCGAAUACAAGAAGACCGACCUCGCCAAACGGCAGAUUCAAAACAUGCCCGCGGAGAAGAAGCCCGCGGAGAAGCCCGGACCGCUGUGGUACGCUAAUUACCACGGCGACACGGCUCUCCAUGUCGCGGCCACCGUGGGUGACCUCGACGUGGCCAAGGCGUUGGUCUGGAAGAACUCAGAACUCAGAACUCGUCAGUGCACGCAACUGGAAGAACGAGACACCGCUGCACAAAGCGGCGCUGUACGGGCACGAGACGAUGUUCUGGGACCUGGUGGAAAUGGGGUCGCACGCCCCGGACGAGCGGAGGGAGGACGGCGCCACCGUGCUGCACUGUGCCAUCAUGGGCAGCGCGCCGGGUGAGUUGUAAUCAAUUCCAGGAAGCCAUAGUCAUAUAUAGCUCCUUUCUUGUUUUCCAAAAAUAUGUUUACAUAGUUGAAUUGUAAUGUAGCUUUAGCACUGAAGAUUGCCAAGACAUAUCCACCGCUGAUCACGUCGCGGAAUGAUGAUGCGGUGACUCCGAUGCAGCUGACGGUGACAAUUCCAGGGUUAUUCCGAAGCCUAACGAAUCUUGGGCCCUUAGAGGCCGUAAUUUAUAAGCGUGAGUCGUAAUGUAAUUUCUAGGAUUUACAUCACCAUAAAACAUUCACAGCAUGUAGUUAUGGUAACUAAGGCUUUGUUACAUCAAAUAAAAGCACACCAAUAUGCAUGCUAGCUCUUGAAACUUCAUGGCUGUAUACUUUGAUUGCAAUGUUGCAGUGAUUCCAUACGAAGACUCCAGCGAGCCACGUGCAGUAGAUGAAGAGACAACCAGGGUCUCGAGCGCUGUUGAAGUAUGUGCUUCCGGAUGAAUCAUUUUGUUUUGCAUGAUGGCAUUGAUAUAGUUCAUGAGGUCGAUAGCAUCUUUUCUACUACUUGUCAAUAAUAUUUAUCACAAAAUUUAAGAGCAGUUUUUUCCUCAAACUAGACAAUAUAAAGUUUGAUCUACCAUGUGUUAGAAAUUUUUGUAAUAUCAGUCGAAGUCAUUCUGGUUAGGGUUAACGAAUUACCCUUUUAGGAUAUUUCUAUUCAUCUCACACAUAUGAAUAUGGGUUUUGAAAGUCUUUCACAUAUUCACAAAGGUUUAAACUUAAUACAUGUAACUCAAUUUUUAAGUCUUUCUCUUCUUUGAAGGGUUCAAACUUUGAGUUCAUAUAUUUUUUAACUUUACGAUACGGUUCACAUAUCUACAUCUAUCCAAUGGUACGACUCAUCUACAUUCAGUGGCUGGAAUAUUAUGUAAUUUUUUUUUAGAAACGAUAAGUUUGAGCCAUAUUCUAGUUAGGGUUAAUGUAUAUUAGGUCAUACGUCAUACAUCAAUUGAAUCUAGAAACUUUGAUUAUUAUAUUAUCAAUCAAAUUUAGUAUAUGUAACUAGACUCUUUCAAUUAUUAGUAACAUGAGACUAUCCUCUUAGAAUAUUUCUUUUCAUCUCAUAUAUGAUUUGUCCCUGCACGAGUAUUAUUUCCUUGUAUUGUCUCUGACGUUGGCGUCUACAUGUACUUAAUAAGGGAGGUGCAAAAUAUAUCAAGCGAAAGGUUGUGUCUCUUCUGCCCCCCAAAACGUUUCGUUCGAAAUUCCCAUCUCACUACAGCAGUCUCUUUGACCUGCGGGAAUUGAUGUUCAUCCCAGGUACUCACUCCUACGAGCUUCUCUAUUUACAUUUCUUACCUGGAUCUUAUUGUUGGAUCACAGUACUACACUGAUUCGUGCUUCUGUUGAUGCAGCCAGAUGGGUUCAUUUGUUGCUUUUCCGCAUUCUAAAGCAAUGUAAGUCAUUGUUCGUGGAUGGAUGCAUGAUGUUUAGACAUGUUGUCCUUUUCCAAUUAAUGUUAGUGGAAUUGCAAUGCAUCAUGCAGUGUUCCCUAUGAUCGAACGUCUGGAGAAGCAAAAGAAAACCCACAAGGAAACCUUGGAACUGAUCGAGUUCUUAGCCUAUUAUCCUAGGCACAUGGAGUUCUAUUCCAAGGGAAGACGAAAAGGCAAGGAGGAAAGUCUUCUUGUUGGAGACAUCACCAGUUCUACAACAAGACAGUCUCCUCCGUCAACAGACGCUGGUGAAGGCCAAGGAGUAAAUGGAGGAGGGAACCGAGAUCAAGACUUUGAUAGGUUUGCGGAAAAGCUAUUUAUGUAUAUGUCGCACAAGGAUGCCAAUCACGAAGCAGUAGCAAAAGAGCUCAAGAAGAGCAUGAAGGAGUCGAUGGAGGAAGUGUCCGGUGAAUCCACAAUUAGAAGAUGGGACGAGCCGCCCCUGAUCUUGGGUGCACAAAUGGGUCUUCCUGAGUUCGUCAGGACGAUCUUGCUAGUAUGUUCGCAGGCAGCAGCAUACCUGGACACCAAGGGGAGAAGCGUUCUCCAAGUCGCAGUCAUGUAUCGUCGCGAGGAGAUUGUCAAGAUCAUAAUGGACAUGAGAAACAUUUUACCAUCCUGGUUAUUUUCCGAAAUCGAACCCAAAACCGGGAACACCAUCGUGCAUCUUGCUUCACGUGGAAGCCCUGAUGUAGCAAAGGAAGCGCAAGACGAACCGGAUGCAAUGCAACUGCAUUACGAUUUAGUAUGGUUUGAGGUAAAGUUGCUAAACUUUUUUGCCCCCCUCCUCAAAUUUUGACAUGCUUCUCAAAAGUAUUAUCCGUUCAAUUCUUUGACAUGCAUUCUUCGGUGUCGGUUGUGGGUUAUUCGCGCAUAAUACAAAAUAACCAACAAAUACACAAAUAAAAUCUACGUAUUCUCAGAGUUGCGUACUAAAUUUGAUCGUUUUCUGACAUUUGAAUGCAGACGGUGAGAGAUAUGGUUCCUAAGGAAUUAGUGUACAGUCGGAACGCGCAAACGAAGACCGCAGAAGAGAUGUUUACUGAGAGUCACCGAGCGAUGCUAAAGAGUUACAAGGGUCAACUAAUGGAAACGGGCAGGACGUGUUCAGGGCUUGUCGCUGCUGUAGUGUUCGCGUCGAGCUUCUCCAUCCCCGGCGAUAAGGACCCAGCGACCGGCAACCCGGUUUACUUCGGUAGGCCAGCUUUUAAGGUCUUCUCACAUGCGUACGUGAUUGGGUUGUCAUGCGCCGCCACAUCUCUGGUGUUGUUCUUAUCCCUCGCUAUGUCACCUUACAACGAGCAGCAGUUCCAUCGUAUCAUCCCAACCAAAUACUUCUUUGCCCGCUCGUCGUUUGCGAUGGCGAUGCUGUCUUUUCUGGUGGCGUUCACCUGCAACAUCUACCUACAGAUGUAUGGCUGGCAGAAGGCGAAGUCGAAGGACUUGAUUCCAUUCGUAUUGGAGCUCACCGUCUUCCCCGUCAUCUGUUUCCUGGUGUUGUUCUUUCGUGGCUCCGAUUUCGUCUUUGGGGUUGAGUCAACAAGCAUGAUCGUCCACAUCGUUGGAAUCUGCAGCUUCAUGAUGCACGUGGGUUGUACCUAUUACGGUAUGCCACCUGUUCUAGUGGUGUGUGGUGGUGGUAGUCAUUGGACAGUUAAUAACUUGUGUGUACGGGCAGCGACAAAGGCAUGUGGUGUAUAGACAACAGAGCUGGUCACCAAUAAUGGUGAUGGGCCUCUCUAUUGUUUUUGACGAAGUCAAUAUGACACAACUGUUGACCGGAUCUCACCCUGUAUUGUAAUGUAUACUGUCACAUGUCGAGCGACAGAUUUCCCCUAUCGCAUGCAAAUUGCAGUGAGAUGUAUGGACGUCCUUUUGGUUUCCCAGAGGUCGGCUAGAAGAUAGGCUCGAGUUUUAUUGAAUCUUCUGUGACAAAUCACAUAGUCUAUAUCGUAAAGUUCUGGCCCGCCAAAGUUUGCACAGGCAAACGAAAUGAUUGGCUUAUAGAAGCCAAUCAUUCAAGAAGCGAAGGACAUCAAUUUUGGAUUAAAAAAAUAUCAACAAAAAAAAAAUUCACCUUUGUAGAAAGGAAAGAAAACCCUCCUUCGCAUCAUCUAUGGAGUCGAAUAAGAAAGAUUUAAGAAAAGAUAGAAAUGAUCCGAGUGAAGAAGACAAAUUAACGAGCAGCAAUGCUCGUCUAUUCCAAAGACCUGCCACGAGAAUAAUACAGCGAGAAAAAAUGAAAAGAAAAGAAAAGAAAGAAGCUUAUUUAUGAGGUGCGAAAGGUUAUGGACAUCCGAUUCACACUGUUGUAGCCGAUGGUUACUAUCCUCCUCCGAAGCCAACUUGUGCUCGGCUACUUUGAUUCCUUUCUCUAUGACUGUCUCAAGUGCCGCUCGUCCUUUUCCAAUUACUUUUUAUAUAAAAUUAAUAUAUUUUAUAUAACAAAAGAGUAAUUUAUAUAUAUAAAAAAAUUAUUCUAAAUUAUUCAAAAUAUAUUAUUACACUAUCAUUCAAAGAAUGUGUUGCAUAUUAAUUUUUUUUAUAUAUAAAGAAUCCUAUUAAACAUGAGGUAUUACAAAAAAAAAAUAGCUCUCUCCAACAACCUCCUGUCAUGUCAACUUCUAGUAAAAUCCCUUUUAGCUUGAGAAAAGAAGUUCUUCGUUAAUACUAUAAUUGAGACUGCCACCGCAAGUAAAACCAGUGUUUGGUACCCUGUCUCCGUUCCACCAUGCGCUGACGUUAUCAGAUUCCCUUUCGCUGAUCUAUACAUCUUAUUGUCAUAAGACGUGAGACUGAAAGUGAUAUGUUGGAGGAAACUAUUAAUUAUAUUUCUAUUUAUUAUUGGUUGACCGAUGGAGAUGAUUACUUUACUUGAGAUGUCAUGUUGAGGUAAUUAAAUCAUGCCAACGCAGAUUCGAAUAAUAAAAUUCUAUUAGCUUGUCAUUAAGCAAAAGACACCCACUCGAAGAUAACUUGAUUUGGAGCUACAAAUGAUAACACUGAGAGCAAAAGAUUCAAUAAAGAGAUGUUGCCAUAAUCCCGGGUGCAUAAAAAGAAUCGGAGACCAACCAAAGGGUCGUCAACUCCAAAGACUUGCGAUGAGUAUGAUCUACAAAAACUUUUCUAUAAGGUGCAAGUUGAAUGAUCGGUGGAGACCCACAAGUAGAGCUUUGGGUGCAGGCUUCCGGAUUAUUGUUUCCUGUAGAGCAAGAAUCGUUGACCCACAAGUUAAAGCUGCUGUCUAGCUUUAACGUAUGUGAAUUAUUCAUUAGUAGGUUGGCCUCUGUAACAUACGAUUAAUUUGUUGUCGAAUCUUUUGUGAAUGAGAUGGAGGGUGCUUAAUUUGUUAGUGAAAGAAAAGUCAAUAAUGAGAAAAAGGGCAGAGAAGAAAACGCAAGAUGAAAGCUCAUCUGGAGAGUUCUUCAUGGCAGUGCCACUUUAAGAGGGGAGAUAGGUUGGAAGGGGUCCAAAGGGGAUCUGUACUAAACUUGGAACGGUUUAGCUGGUUUGAGCAAAGAAUCCGACGCCAUUUUCCGACACUAAGCGACGCCAAUCGACUGAAAAGGAGGGAGGCGUACGACGAUGGAUGAGAGCCAAAAGGAUAAGCUAAUCUGCUUGUUAAGGCAGGCCUUCAGGUUUCUUUAGUUUCGCAGUAGAAAUCAGGAGGCGAAGGCGUACGAACGAGUUGUACGCACCAUAUAGCAACUGCACCAUAUAUAUUUUUGGUCGGUGAGAACGUAGCGAAAGGAGCGGCUCCCUUCGGUGUGUUUUGGAUAUGACGGCUCCUUCCACCACCCAAAAGCUGACGCCUGCUGCAGAUGUAGGCACCGGAUCAGGGAGAAAAGUAGAGAAACAGCCGUCUGUACCCGGGAAAUCGCAGCCUGCACACGGCGCAGGUGGUGGUGGAUCAGAGGAGCCACCGCAUGCCCUGGACGUGGCACGCUUCCGCCGGCUGAACUCGCUCAUCCACCGUGAGAACGUGGACGCGAACAAACUCCUGCGUCUAGUGGAGCAGGAUAACCACGUGAACCUCAUGAACGACCCCUUGCUCAGCGUCGUCAUCGCCUGCAAGAAGCCCAAGCUCGCCUGCAGCCUCAUCGACAAAAUAUCAUCAAAUGACAUUCUCAAGGCCAGCAACUUAAACGGCGACACGGCGCUUCACGUAGCUGCCGCCAUGGACGACAAAGAAGUGGCCUCGAAGCUGAUCGACAGGGUGCCAGAUCUCGUUCAUAUGCAGAACGUGAAACAGGAGAUACCGCUACAUAAGGCGGCGCUGUACGGGCUGCUGGACAUGUUCUGGCUGCUGGUGGAAAAUAACAGCUCACCGAAAGCCCGGAGGGAGGACGGCGCCACCAUGCUGCACUGUGCCAUCAUGGGCAACGCGCCGGGUAAGCGAUCAUCACCAGUUUUGUUGGUCUGGCGCUGGCCAGCUGUCUUUCUCUUGUUUUUAUCCUAUUUUUUUGAAGUGUUGUAUGUGGAUCAUACUGCUUCCGCAUCUUUGGUGUGAUCAAGGUGAGUGAGUCGACGCAGGGCUUGCACUGGAGAUUGCAAAGCGUUUUCCAUUGCUGAUCACAUCGCGGAAUACUAUGGCGGUAACCCCGUUGCAGCUGAUGGUGACCGUUCCGGGGUUAUUCCGAAGCCAAAUGGUAAUUGGCGGCUUCGAGUCCAUCCUCCAUGACUGUAAGUGCUGCCCCGCCUCUUCCUUCAACGCCCCCAGCGCCCCGCCCUCCCCCCUGCUUCUCUAUUUAUUGCACUACAUUUCCUACUAACGACUACCUUAAUUUAGCGAUCGUUCGACGUCCAAAUUUAUCGAGAAUUUACCAAGGGGUGUUUUGUUUCUCAUUAUCGGGACACAUAUACCCUUGAUUUUUUGGAUUUAUUAUAUGGUUUUGUGUUAAACCGAAUCAAAUCUAAUCGGUCGAAUCUGGUUUGCACUCUGUUCUUUUUUCUUUCACAUGUCUCCUCCUCCUUCCCUCGAUUCGCCCUUUUUGUUGUCACCCUUUCACCCUUAUUCUUUCUUCUUCAAGGAGGAGGAGGAGAGGAAGCGACACAAGGUUGACCGGUUCAUUGAACCGGUUCGCUCAUCGAAACUGUUUUUGUGAAUCAUUUCAAAAAGUUUGAAACGAAAUUAAUUGGAAUAGGAGGAUAAAGUUAGAAUUUACCAAAAAAAAAAACAUUCCUAAAUAAUUUCUGAAUAGAGGGGCGUGAUAGAAACCAAUUACUAAUAAUCUUUUAGGUGAAUUAUUAUUAUUAUUAUUAUUAUUAUUAUUAUUAUUAUUAUUAUUAUUAUUAUUAUUAUAUAUAAAUAUAAUAUGGUGUAACGGAAUUAUUGACUUAGUAACUUCACUGAACUUGGAUCGUUGAUCUGAAUAAUUAAGUUUAAAUUAAUAAUAAUACACUCAUCAAAUCUCUAUAAAUUAAUCUUAGAAUUUGUCUACUUUUAAUUUUCGAUGUGAAGUAAAAUUAUAAUUGUUCUCAGAAAAAUAUAGUUAUGAUGAAACUUAAACAUCAAGCAUUUUGAUACCAGUAGUGUACAUGCUCCUAAAAUUUUGAUUUUACAUUUCAGUUAUUCCUUUGGAGAAGGACUCAGACAGGACUCGUCGAAGAGAUGAAGAGGAGGCAAGUGGAAGCUCCAACGAUGCCGGUGUAUGUGAUUCAAAUCAUCAACAUCUUUUCCAUCACAAUAUCAAUAGUCCACUAUUGUCUCUCUGAUUUGUUUCUCUUUUUGGCGUCUACAUAUAUAUAAUCUCAAGCAAGCUGAGGGCACAGAACAAGAUGACCACGAAUAUUUCGGGAGGCAGAGAACAAUUCGUUCGAGAUUUCCAUCUUGCUGCUGUACUCUCGUUGACAUAUUAGUCAUCCCAGGCACUCCUACUAGCUUCUCUGUCUACAAUUUUUGUAGUCAUCCAUGUUCUGUUUCAUUACGCUGAUGUUUUCCUUUUUGUCCUUGCAGUCAAAUGGGUUCGUCUGUUUCUCUUCAUCAUUUUAAAGACCUGUGAGUAAUUGUUCCCAAACAGUACAUUGAUGAUAUUUAGAACCAUGUCCUACUGUUUCAUUACGAGUUUUAGCAAAUUAGGAAAGUACUAUAGAAAAGGCUUCUUGUAAUUUAGUUCUCCAAAACCAAGUAGUUUACAUGAUGGAUAAUUAUAGCUUAUUUGCGGAAAAACAUAGAUGGGAUGAUCAUGUCGCUGACUUCUUCUGAUGUUAAUUUGGAGAUGCAAUGCGUUUAAGAUUAAUUUAGUUCUUCUGAUGAUCAUGUCGGAAAAACAUAAAUGCAGUGUACCCUCGAACCCGACAUCUGGAGAAGAUUAAGAGAACCCAUAGAAAAGCCUUGGAACUCAUCGAAUUUUUAGCCCGCGAACCGAGAAACAUGGAGUUCUACGUGCUGGGAAGCAAACAAGGUGACGGCGGAGCUCCUGCGGCAGGCUUUCGAGAAAGUGGUGGGCGACAAGAUCAACUUAAUGCACCAGCUGCGUCUACCAGAAGAUGGAAUGAGCCACCCUUGAUCUUGGGUGCACAAAUGGGCAUUCCCGAGUUCGUCAGUACGAUCUUACGAGUGUGUCCGCAGGCAGCUACGUACCUGGACACCGGUGGCCGAAGCGUUCUCCAAGUAGCAAUAAAGCAUGGUAACCGAGAGAUUGUGAGAACUAUACGUGAGAUGACUCGGGGGAAUAAUCCCAUACUACCAUCCUGGCUACUGUCCCGUGUCGACAAAGGGACCGGAAGAACCAUCCUACACCUUGCGUCGGCAAAUGCCCCCAAGCAUACCCAAGAUGCUCUACAAAUGCAAGAUGAAUUAAGAUGGUUUGAGGUCAAGUCCCUAACUACAUUAACUACAAAUAAAAUCUUUACAUUCUCGGAGCUGCCUACUAAAUUUGAUCGUUUUCUGACAUUUGUAUGCAGAGGGUGAGAGAUAUGGUUCCUAAGGAAUUAGUGUACAGUCGAAACGCGCAAGAGAUGACCGCAGAAGAGAUGUUUACUCUGAGUCACCAAGCUUUGCUCAAGAAUUGCAAGGAUCAACUAAUGGAAACGGGCAGGCUGUGUUCAGGGCUGGUCGCAGCUGUAGUGUUCGCGUCGAGCUUCUCAGUCCCCGGCGAUAAGGACCCAGCCACCGGCAACCCGGUUUACUUCGGUAGGGCAGCUUUUACGGUCUUCUCACACACGUACGUGUUUGGGCUUUCAUGCGCCGCGACAUCUCUGGUGUUGUUCUUAUCCCUCGCCAUGUCACCUUACAAGGAACAGCAGUUCCGUCGUAUCAUCCCAAUCAAAUACUUCUUUGCCCGCUCGUCGUUUGGGUUGGCGAUGCUGUCUUUUCUGGUGGCGUUCACCUGCAACAUCUACCUGCAGUUAUAUGGCUGGCAGAAGACGAAGUCGAAGGACUUGAUUCCAUUCAUAUUGGAGCUCACCGCCUUCCCUUUCAUCUGUUUCCUGGUGUUAUUCUUUUAUGGCUCCAAGUUCUUUUAUGGCUCCAAGUUCGGUCUAUCUUUUCUUUUUCGUUCUUGGCGUUGAGUCAACAAGCAUGAUCGUCCACAUCCUUCGAAUCUGCAGCUUCAUGAUGUACGUGGGUUAUACCUAUUACGGUAUGCCGCCUGUUCCAGUGGUGUGUGGUGGUGGUAGUCAUUGGACAGUUAAUAACUUAUGUGUACAAGCAGCGACAAAGGCAUGUGAUGUAUGGACGCUAUUUGAUUGCAACUUUAAUGUGGUUUUUUAUCUUCUAUCUUCGAUUAGAUGAUGUCUGCGCAACGGUAGACAACAGAGCUGGUCACCAAUAAUGGUGAUGGCCCUCUCUAUUGUUUUUGACGAAGUCAAUAUGACACAACUGUUGACCGGAUCUCACCCUGUAUUGUAAUGUAUACUGUCACAUGUCGAGCGACAGAUUUCCCCUAUCGCAUGCAAAUUGCAGUGAGAUGUAUGGACGUCCUUUUGGUUUCCCAGAGGUCGGCUAGAAGAUAGGCUCGAGUUUUAUUGAAUCUUCUGUGACAAAUCACAUAGUCUAUAUCGUAAAGUUUUGGCCCGCCAAAGUUUGCACAGGCAAACGAAAUGUUUGGCUUAUAGAAGCCGAUUAUUCAAGAAGCGAAGGACAUCAAUUUUGGAUUAAAAAAAUAUCAACAAAAAAAAAUCACCUUUGUAGAAAGGAAAGAAAACCCUCCUUCGCAUCAUCUAUGUAGUCAAAUAGGAAAGAUUUAAGAAAAGAUAGAAAUGGUCCGAGUGAAGAAGACAAACUAACGAGCAACAAUGCUCGUCUAUUCCAAAGACAUGCCACGAGAAUAAUGCAGCAAGAAAAAAUGAAAAGAAAAGAAAAGAAAGAAGUUUAUUUAUGAGGUGCGAAAUGUUAUGGACAUCCGAUUCACACUGUUGCAGCUGAUGGUUACCAUCCUCUUCCGAAGCCAACUUGUGCUCGGCUCCUUUGAUUCCUUUCUAUAAAGGUUAUGGACAUCCGAUUCACUCGCGCCAUUGCUGCUCGUCCUUUCCCAAUUACUUUUUAUAUAAAAUUAUUAUAUUUUAUAUAAUAAUAUAGUAAUUUUUAUAAAAAAAGUAUUCUAAAUUAUUCUAAAUAUAUUAUUAUACUAUCAUUCAAAGAAUGUGUUGAAUAUUAAUUUUUUUUAUAAAUUUAUCCAAAAUUCAUCAUAAAACUAAUCAUAAAAUUCUACAUCUCUUAUUUUCUAUUUCCUAUAUUGACUUAGUUAUACUCAAAAUUAAAAUAAAUUAAAUUCGAUUACCUAACUUAUUUUAAUAUUAAUAUAUAUAUAUAUAUAUAUAUAUAUAUAUUACUUUUAGAUAUAUUUAGGAUAAUUAAUUAUCAGAACUUUGAGAAUUCUACUGUAAUUUGAUUCUAACCAAAAAAAUACUAGUUUUUUUAUUUUAUAAUAAGUUUAUAUAAAAUUAAUAUAUCUUACUAAAUUCGAGUGUAACUUAGAUUUGGCUCUACCCAACCCGACUCGAUCCGAAAGGAUGCGCCCCAAAUCAAUUUAAUUCAGAUCCAAUCAACCAGCUAAUUAGUUAGGUUUGAAAUAGUCUCGUAUUAUGAAAAUUUUUAAAUAAAAAUAUCCUGAGCUUUUAUAUAUAUAUAUAUAUAUAUAUAUAUAUAUAUAUAUAAAGAAUCCUAUUAAACAUGAGGUAUUACAAAAAAAAUCGCUCUCCAACAACCUCCUGUCAUGUCAACUCUAGUAAAAUCCCUUUUAGCUUGAGAAAAGAAGUUCUUCGUCAAUACUAUAAUUGAGACUGCAACCGAUUCUUUGUUUUUUACUCAUUUUCUUUUGGUUCGUUUUCAUGUCAGUGUCAAGCUACAUGAUAGUUAAACAAGUGUUUGGUACCUUGUCUCCGUUCCACCAUGCUCUGACGUUAUCAGAUUCCCUUUCUGUGAUCUAUGUAUCUUUUUGUCAUAAGACGUGAGACUGUCAGUGAUAUGUUGGAAGAAACUAUUAAUUAUAUUUCUAUUUAUUAUUGGUUGACCGAUGGAGAUGAUUACUUUACUUGGGAUGUCAUGUUGAGGUAAUUAAAUCAUGCCAACGCAGAUUCGAAUAAUAAAAUUCUUUUAGCUUGUCAUUAAGCAAAAGACACCCACUCGAAGAUAACGUGAUUUGGAGCUACAAAUGAUAACAUCGAGAGCAAAAGAUUCAAUAAAGAGAUGUUGCCAUAAUCCCGGGUGCAUAAAAAGAAUCGGAGACCAACCAAAGGGUCGUCAACUCCAAAGACUUGCGAUGAACAUGAUCUACAAAACCUUUUCUAUAAGGUGCAAGUGGAGGUUUGGGUGCAAGCUUCCGGAUUAUUGUUUCCUGUAGAGCAAGAAUCGUUGACCCUCGCAUGGCCAUCCACGUUUAUGGCAUGUAGGUGCUGUCUAGCUUUAACGUAUGUGAAUUAUUCAUUAGUAGGUUGGCCUCACUAACGUACGAUUAAUUUGUUGUCGAAUCUUUUGUGAGUGAGAUGGAGAGUGCUUAAUUUGUUGUGAAAGAAAAAACAAUAAUGAGAAAACUAGCACAGAAGAAAACGCAAGUUGAAAGCUCAUCUGGAGAGUUCUUCAUGGCAGUGCCACUUUAAGAGGGGAUAUGAGUUGGAAGGGGUCCAAAGGGGAUCUGUACUAAACUUGGAACUGUUUAGCUGGUUUGAGCAAAGAAUCCGACGCCAUUUUCCGACUCUAAGCGACGCCAAUCGACUGAGAAGGAGGGAGGCGUACGACGAUGGAUGAGAGCCAAAAGGAUCAGCUAAUCUUGUUGUUAAGGCAGUCCUUUCAGGUUGCUUUAAUUUUGGUGUAGGCAUCUGGCGGCGAAGGCGUACUUACCAUAUAGCAACUGCAUGCUAUGGGGGAUCCCGCCGCUCUUGCCAAUACGGAUUCCAUUCACGACGGCACAGAGGAUGCUGAUCCACUGCAUGUGCUCAACAGGAGACAUUUUCUCGCGGUGAAGUCUCAUUUCCGUCAGAGGAAGCACGAGGCACUCUUGGCUCUAGCCGUGGAAGAUCCUGGUCGCCCGGUGAACCUCAUGAACGACACUUUGCUCCACGUCGUCAUAGCUUGCAACAAGACCGACCUCGCCAAAAGUAUUAUCUUGCAGAUGCCAGUGGAGACCCUCGCGGCCAAGAAUUUGUACGGCGACACGGCUCUUCAUGUCGCUGCCGCCGUGGGUAACAGCGAGGUGGCCAGGGAGCUGUUCGGCAAGAGAGAAGAUCUCAUCGGAGAACAGAACUUGAAGCAGGAGACACCACUGCACAAAGCGGCGUUCUACGGGCAUCAUGACAUGUUCUGGUGCCUGGUGGACGAGGGGAAUGGCUCCCCGUACGAGCGGAGGGAGGACGGCGCCACCAUGCUGCAUUGUGCCAUCAUGGGCAACGAGCCGGGUAAGCGAUCAUCACCAGUUUCGUUGGCCAGCUGCCUUUAUCUUGUUUUUAUCCUAUCCUAUUUAUUUGAAUUGUUAUAUGUGGAUCAUACUGCUUCCGCAUCUUUGGCGUGAUCAAGGUGAGUGAGUAUCGAUGCAGGGCUGGCACUGGAGAUUGCAGAGCAUUUUCCAUUGCUGAUCACGUCGCGGAAUACUAUGGCGGUGACCCCGUUGCAGCUGAUGGUGACCGUUCCGGGGUUAUUCCGAAGCCAAAUGGAACUUGGCGGCUUCGAGUCCAUCCUCCAUGACUGUAAGUGCUGCCCGCCUCUUCCUUCAUCGCCCCCGGCGCCCCGCCCUCCCCCCUGCUUCUCUAUUUCUUUCACUACAUUUCCUACCAACGACUACCUUAAUUUAGCGAUCGUUCGACGUCCAAAUUUAUCGAGAAUUUACCUAAGGGUGUUUUUUUCUCAUUAUCGGAACACAUAUACCCUUGAUUUUUUGGAUUUAUUGUAUGGUUUUGUGUUAAACCGAAUCAAAUCUAACCGGUCGAGUCUGAUUUGAUCUCUGUUCUUUAUUCUUUCACAUGUCUUUCUCCUCCUUCCCUCAAUUCCCCCUUUUGUUGUCACCCUUUCACCCUUAAUUCUUUCUUCUUCAAGGAGGAGAGGAGGAGUAGGCGGAGGAGGAGAAGAGGAAGCGACAGAAGGUUGACCGCUUCAUCGAACCGGUUCGCUCAUUCAAACUGUUUUAGUAAAUCAUUUCAAAAAGUUUGAAACGAAAUUAAUUGGAAUAGGAGGAUAAAGUUAGAAUUUACCAAAAAAAAUUCCUAAAUAAUUUUUGAAUAGAGGGGAGUGAUAGAAAACAAUUACUAAUAAUCUUUUNNNNNNNNNNNNNNNNNNNNUAUAUAUAUAUAUAUAUAUAUAUAUAUAUAUAUAUAUAUAUAUAAUCUAAUCUAACAGAAUAAUUGACUUAUUAACUUCAGGAUCAUUGAUCUGAAUAAUUAAGUUUAAAUUAAUAAUAAUACACUUAUCAAAUCUCUAUAAAUUAAUCUUAGUAUUUGUCUACUUUUAAUUUUCGAUGUGAAGUAAAAUUAUAAUUGUUCUGAGAAAAAUAUAGUUAUGAUGAAACUUAAACAUCAAGCAUUUUGAUUUUACAUUUCAGUUAUUCCUUUGGAGAAGGACUCACACAGGACUCGUCGAAGAGAUGAAGAGGAGGCAGGUGGAAGCUCCAACGAUGCCGGUGUAAGUGAUUCAAAUCAUCAACAUCUUUUCCAUCACAAUAUCAAUAGUCCACUAUUGUCUCUUAUUUGUUUCUCACUUUGGCGUUUACAUAUAUAUAAUCUCAAGCAAGCUGAAGCCGCAGAGCAAGAUGACCACGAAUAUUUCGGGAGGCAUAGAACAAUUCGUUCAAGAUUUCCAUCUUGCUGCUGUACUCUCGUUGACAUAUUAGUCUUCCCAGGCACUCCUACUAGCUUCUCUGUCUACAAUUUUUGUAGUCAUCCAACUUCUGUUUCAUUACACUGAUGUAUUCCUUUUUGUGCUUGCAGUCAAAUGGGUUCGUCUGUUUCUUUUCUUCAUUAUAAGGACUUGUGAGUAACUGUUCCCAAACAGUACAUUGAUGAUGUUAAGAGCCAUGUCCUACUGUUUCAUUACGAGUUCUAGCAAAUUAGGAAAGUACUAUAGAAAAGGCUUCUUGUAAUUUAGUUCUCCAAAACAAAGUAGUUUACAUGAUGGAUAAUUAUAGCUUAUUUGCGGAAACACAUAAAUGGGAUGAUCAUGUCGCUGACUUCUUCUGAUGUUAAUUUGGAGAUGCAAUGCGUUUAAGAUUAAUUUAGUUCUUCUGAUGAUCAUGUCGGAAAAACAUAAAUGCAGUGUACCCUCGAACCCGACAUCUGGAGAAGAUUAAGAGAACCCAUAGAAAAGCCUUGGAACUCAUCGAAUUUUUAGCCCGCGACCCGAGAAACAUGGAGUUCUACGUGCUGGGAAGAAUGCAAGGUGACGGCGGAGCUCCUGCGGCAGGCUUUCGAGAAAGAGGUGGACGACAAGAUCAACUUAAUGCACCAGCUGCGUCUACGAGAAGAUGGAACGAGCCACCCUUGAUCUUGGGUGCACAAAUGGGCAUUCCCGAGUUCGUCAGUACCAUCUUACGAGUGUGUCCGGAGGCAGCUACCUACCUGGACACCCGUGGCCGAAGCGUUCUCCAAGUAGCAAUAGAGCAUGGUAACCGAGAGAUUGUGAGAACUAUACGUGAGAUGACUCAGGGGAAGAAUCCCAUACUACCAUCCUGGCUACUGUCCCGCGUCGACAAAGGGACCGGAAGAACCAUCCUGCACUUUGCUUCGGCAAAUGCCCCUGAGCAUAACCAAGAUGCUCUACAAAUGCAAGAUGAAUUAAGAUGGUUUGAGGUCAAGUCCCUAACUACAUUAACUAGAAAUAAAAUAUUUAUAUUCUCGGAGUUGCCUACUGAAUUUGAUCGUUUUCUGACAUUUGAAUGCAGACGGUGAGAGAUAUGGUUCCUAAGGAAUUAGUGUACAGUCGAAACGCGCAAGAGAUGACCGCAGAAGAGAUGUUUACCAAGAGUCACCAAGCUUUGCUCAAGAGUUGCAAGGUUCAACUAAUGGAAACGGGAAGGUUGUGUUCGGGGCUGAUCGCAGCUGUAGUGUUCGCGUCGAGCUUCUCCAUCCCCGGCGAUAAGGACCCAGCGACCGGCAACCCGGUUUACUUCGGUAGGGCAGCUUUUAAGGUCUUCUCACAUGCGUACGUGAUUGGGUUGUCAUGCGCCGCCACAUCUCUGGUGUUGUUCUUAUCCCUCGCCAUGUCACCGAACAAGGAGCAGCAGUUCCGUCGUAUAAUCCCCACCAAAUACUUCUUUGCCCGCUCGUCGUUUGGGUUUGCGAUGCUGUCUUUUCUGGUGGCGUUCACCUGCAACAUCUACCUACAGUUAUAUGGCUGGCAGAAGACGAAGUCGAAGGACUUGAUUCCAUUCGUAUUGGAGCUCACCGUCUUCCCUGUUAACUGUUUCCUGGUGUUGUUCUUUCGUGGCUUCACCUUCGAUAUACCUUUCCUUUUUCGUUCUUGGCGUUGAGUCAACAAGUAUGAUCGUCCACAUCUUUGGAAUCUGCAGCUUCAUGAUGUAACGUCGGUUCUAC
rnacentral:lncRNA from 1 species